UAGUAGGAUAUUAAAAUUUCUUAGCUAUAAAAUACUCCCCCUCCGUCCUAUUGAUCUUGUCCCGUAUUUUUUUUUCACAAAAACUUAAAUGAGCGCCGCCUAAAAAUUGCGCUCACAGAAUGCGCACGGGUCUGGGUCGGGUCGGACAAAGUUAACCGGGUCAGUUGACCCGGUAUAUAAAAAAAAUUCAUUCUAAGCCCUAGCACCUUCGAUCUCUCUCUUCCUUUCUCGGUUUUCUCACACUUCAGAUCAGCCAAGGAGAAGUCGUCGCCUCUCAAAUACUUGGACUUGGCGAGUGCGGUUUCUGCUUGUUUAUGAAAGCGGCGGUUGUAGAGUGAUGUUUACGAAUUGGGAGAAGUGCGUGUGUUAAGGGGAGAAAUGCUUUCACGCGACUUCUUCUGUGCGUGUAUGGAGGCGCACUCCGAUUACUACAAGUUGCUUCUGGAGGCGCAGGAGGCGGCAGGGAAGCAGCUGGAGGCGGAGAAGGAGAUGGAGAAAUCGACCGAUCAAGCGGCGGAAGAUAAAUUGGAUGAUUAUGAGAAGAAGGCAGCUUCUUGAUGAUAGGUUGAUCUUAGUGAAUAGAGAAUUUGUGACUAUUAUUAUAUUUUCUCUUGAAAUGACUAGCUCAAAUUUAAGGGUGCUCCACUGUUCUAUAUAUAGCUUAAGCAUGUCACUGUGGAUUGUGGUCAAGGUGUUUGUUAAAAUGUCUCAAUGAAUAAAAAGUUGAAUAAAUAGUGUUAUUUAUUAA